AAUACAUUAGUAUUUCCCAGGUGUCCAUUGUCCUAUGCUCUACAGCGAGAAAAUCUAUGUAUUAACAGAGGCUUUUGCUUAAGUAUUAACAGAGGCCUAGGGUUUUGGUUCUAACUCUCGUUGGUUGCAUUACUUACACCCUUUCAAUGCCUCAUUUUCAGGUCGCUAGUGCUUUGGAUGCAGUUAGUGAAUGCCUGGUCCAGGAUGCUCUUAACCAUUUGAUGAAGAGAUUUAUAUUGGUUAUUGCUCUCAUAGAUUAAGCACAGUUCAGAAUGCCCAUGAGAUUAUACUUUGUUCAGGUGGGAGAAUCACAGAAUUGGGGAUUUGAGUUGUUGGUAUUGAGGACCAGAUUUCUUACAUCAUCAGGAAUUAGGAAAAGAAAUUUCAGCUUUGAGGUUCGCAAGGCAUUCAGUAGGAAGACCAAGGAAGGUGUUCAUGAAAACAUCAUCAAUUGGUUGGAUAGUUGCUACCCCAACCAAUCUGCAUUUCCCUUCUCUAUCCAACCUUUCUCCUUGUCCGCUGCGUAUCACUCCAUUUGAUUCUUCUGAUGUCAAUACUGUUUUCACAAGAAGAGGAGGAGCUCUGUAGAUAUUCCCAACAGAAAACCAGAACUUGGCCAUGAACUCAAGAUCAACCUAUAAAAGCAUGGACAGCAAAAAUUGGCAUUUAAUGGUGGAUUUCUGGAAUCAAAAUUAGUGGACUAGUGAGUAGCAGUAACGGAAAAUUCUUGCAGUUUGAAGCUGUUUUUCAGAAGGAUUUAUUUUUUAAUUGAGCAGAUUAGAAUGAUUCAUGUGGUAUCGUGGAAGGUGCUCAUCUUUAUAUAACUUCCUCAAAGAUGAUGCCUUAAGAAUGAAGCAGAGUAGCAUAAUCUACCUUACCAGAAUCUCGUUCGAUGCUUCCUUGAAAGAGUUCAGGGACCACAUCAAUCUUCAAACCUGGUGGCAAUCGCAAUCCUAAAAACCUAGUAGUUGCACUUGUCAGUGGUGGAAUAUACAGAGUUUUCAGGUCAAAGGAAACUGAAAUCUCAUCAUUCAAGUCACCCUUUUUGGUCCUGGUAGCGGUCCCAGUUCCUGUUCCUCCUUGAGCAUCAUAUUCAAAGUCGGGAUAUCUUGAGAUGCCAA